AGACAUGACUGUGCUGCAGUGUGAAAGCAGCGAUUCCUAUUCACUGAUACUCAACAGGCUUCAGAAUAUAUCCUCAGAAUGCUAAAGAGACAGUCGCUAAGGAGAAGAGUGCAGCAACAUGAACCCAGGUGAGACAACACAGCACUGGUUAGGUUAUAAACCCUAGAUUUUCAAAAGGACAGUAAGAAAAGAACUAUCAGCCUCAACAUGAAAGAGCUUGUCCUAUCACUCCUGAGUCGAGGAUAUAGUCAUGUGGUCCAGACGGAUGGCAAAAAACAAUAUGGAAGACUGGAAGUCUGUUUUGAACCUGAGGACUACUUCAUCUGGAAAUCACAGCCUCCCCUGCUUCGCUUAUCCAGCAGUGGACGGCUGCUUAGUGGAGUGGAGCCCACACCCCCAAAAACCUACAGCACUAGGAGAGGGCCACUUAUUCUAUACUCAGAAGAUUUUGCCUCAUCAUCCUCCCAACCUGACAAGGUCACCAGGAAGGAGCGGGCUUUCAGGGCUUCUAGAGAGGAAGCAGAGUUUGAAUUCUACUCUCUUCAAGAUCUGACAGCAGCCGCUUUAGCAUAUUGUAAAA